UACGAGGGGGGCGAGCGUUGUUCGGAAUUAUUGGGCGUAAAGGGUGCGUAGGCGGUUUUGUAAGUCUUAUGUGAAAUCUACAGGCUCAACUUGUAGUCUGCAUGAGAAACUGCAGGGCUUGAGUAUGGGAGAGGUGAGUGGAAUUCCUGGUGUAGCGGUGAAAUGCGUAGAUAUCGGGAGGAACACCUGUGGCGAAAGCGGCUCACUGGGUCUCUUCUGACGCUGAGGCACGAAAGCUAGGGUAGCGAACGGG
rnacentral:rRNA from 1 species